UGAUUCAGUCAGACAGAAACAAACGAUUUUUAUUCCUUUAUUAUUAUUUCUUCUUUAUCUGUGGAAUUAGAGGGUGGCAGGAAGACCAAGAAUUCAGACCUGGGACAAAUCUGGAUGAACGUAGGAUGCUAUGCAGUAGUUGGGGUAUAUUGUAAGAAGUGUUCCGAAAACAAAAAAGAAUGUUGAAGCAACUUUCUCUGGAGAUGCAUCAUGUGCAGAGAGUCACCAUGAGUAUGUUUGCUUGCAUCCAGCUUCUUCUCUUUGAAUUGGAGGACACAUACUUGGAAACUUCUGGUUGAUGACAGCACACCAAUUAAGAGUUAUUCUUUGAUUCAAAGUGAACAACUGUUGCCAUCAAGCUUCAUCGAACUGACCUAUGUGAGAAAUCUCUGAAAAUAACAACAUGAAAAGGACAAGAAAAUAGAUAAUCAGUACAAAAAAGGUAAAACUUCUUAAUAAGAGAAAUAGACAAAGAUAAAAAUUAAUUUACAAAAACAAACACAGUUGUUGUUUAGUCACUAUGUCGUGUCUAACUCUUUUGCAACCCCAUGGACUGCAGCCCGCCAGGCUGAAGUCCAUGGGAUCGCUAAGAGUCGGACAGGACUGAGCGACUUCACUUUCACUUUUUGCUUUCAUGCAUUGGAGAAGGAAAUGGAAACCCACUCCAGUGUUCUUGCCUGGAGAAUCCCAGGGUCAGGGGAGCCUGGUGAGCUGCCGUCUAUGGGGUCACACAGAGUCGGACACAACUGAAGUGACUUAGCAGCAGCAGCAGCAUAGGUAAUAAUAAGCUGAACCAUAUAAAUGGAGAGAAAUCAGAACCACAGAAUUCUUUAAGGAAAAUAAUAUAUUCCAAAGGAAAAAAAACUAAAGAAAUAUCUAAUUAAACAACUGAAAUAAAAGAUAACUACUGUACUAUAUGAGCUUCCCAGGUGGUUCAGUGGUAAAGAAUCUGCCUGCCAAUGCAGUAGAUGAAGGUUCAAUCCCUGGGUCAGGAAGAUCCCCUGGAGAGGGGAAUGGCAACAAACUCCAGUAUUCUUGCCUGGGAAAUCCCAGGGACAGAGCAGCCUGGAGGGC
ensembl:lncRNA